rnacentral:lncRNA from 1 species
AGUAUGUCAAAUUCAAUCACUUAUCUUUAUAUAUUUCAAUCAGAAGAUGAUGAUUCAGUUGAUCAUAUAUUAAAAAUUUUUUUCUAAUUAUCAUCCUACUUUGGUCAAAGACUUCUAGAAUUAUCGACCUAUGAGAUCACAUAGGAUGUUUGCUCCCCUUAUUAAGAGUGACUGAUCUCUUAUUGAUCACUCACAAUCUUCAUGCAUACUUCACUACAUCUAGAACACCUCAUAUAAGGAUUAAAGAACCAAGUUAGGAAGUGAACCAAAAUAUGAAUUCAUGUACAUAAGGUACCAUGG